rnacentral:lncRNA from 1 species
CUCCCAUCCCUCUAUCCUAUUUCCGAGUAUCGGGCAGCCGGAGCAUAACCGCUCCAUGGCUGGACCACCACCAACAGCAACAGUGCCGGAGCUGCUGGUGUUGUGAGUGGUGAUGCUCUCUACAGGACCCGAGUACUGUCUUGUCAAUGGUGGAUGAAUGUUGGAGUGUUGAAGUUGCUAUUUGUAUAAUAUCGUGUAGUGGGACACUCGCAAGUUCUCAAGUGUAGGUUUCUUCAUAAAUAUAACUAAUCAGUGUGUGAUGGGCGAAUAGAAGAAAUGAUGUGUUAUGAGGCAGUUGUCCUGUACAUGAAGAGUGUGGUUGGUGCAUAGACUUCUUACUGCUGGAGGGGACUACCACCACACCCCCCCCUCCACCUUGUGACGUUGGAAAUCGUCGCCAGAAAAGAAAACAAAAUUCACAAGCGUCUAUGUAAAGAUUGUUAUUAUAGGAGUGUAGGUGGAGCGCUGUUUGGUUGGUGUUUACCUUGUAGAUGACGGGGAAAAUGUUGCCUUCAGCAUAGACAUGUAGUAUAUGAUACAUAGUAGAAGGAAUUGAUUUGUGAAUAAAAGUUAAACAUGUUUGAAGAUAUGCAUACCGGUCUGGUAGUUAUUGUAUUAAAUAUAAACCACACAAAGUGUAUUGGUGGGGGUACGUAAUUAGUCCGUUUCGUACAAAUCACCUCAGCUGUAUUACAGGGAAUACUUAGGUGGCCCUCCAAUAGAGUGUGUAAGUGAGACACUGUCAAUUGUUGUAGGAUAUAUGUGCGUAGUCAUUUGUAGAUUGUGCCUAUGACAGUUAAAUUGUUUGUGCCAAGAAGAAGGCAACUGUUGUUGCAAGGAUCCUGCACAAUGAGUAUGGCAUUGUAUUUUCGUAACCCAAUUUUAUUUAGUAACACGGUGUUGAAUACAGACUGUGAGAAGAUGGUAAAUAAUGUAUGGCAUGAAUAUAACAUAGUACGCCAUGCUGACCACUACGUUUCUAAACCAAGAAAUGGUUUGUUGGGUACGUAAGCUAUAUAAAUGGGUGUGAAUGUUUACAUUCCCUGCAAUAUAGUUUCUGUCGUAGCCGUUUUAUGUAUAAAAGAUACAUAUCUUUUAACCAUCAAAAUACAGGAGGUGUAUUGGAGGGAAUGUAAACAUUUCCUGCAAUGGGUGGUACUUUGUUGACGCUGAAACGUCAAGCCAAUACGUCGAGGUUGACAUAGGUUUCCCGUUUAGAAACAACCUAGUGAGUAUGUUAGGCUGUAAAAAAAAAUGGUUAUCUUAACAUACUCAGUAGGUUAGGUCGAUGU